UGAGUCAAGGGAUGCAGUGACUCACGCAUCAUCUGAGCUCCUGUGCAUUUCACGUGGCUCCAGGGCAGGAUGACACAAAUUCAUUUCCCUCUGGAAAGGGUGACUCAGCUCACAGGGGUACAGGCUGCAGGACACAAAGCUGUGACCAGGUCCCACUGCUGCCCUGAAGGACCAUGGACUGAGAAAGGCUGGAAGCAUCAUCUCUGUCUCUGAGGAAGGUGUUCCUGGAUGCAGGACAGAGGAGACAAUCUCAGCAGAAAAUGGAAAACCAGUUUCCUGUGACAGGAAGGAUUUCUCACAGUGUUAACCUGGAUUAUUUCUGUUCCUCAGUACAUACAUGUUAUUUUCAAGUCUCUUCAGAGUAGGUAAAGGGGUGAAAAUUGCUUUCAAAGAUAUAAUUAGCAGUCUCUUUUUCCUAAUAGCCUUUCUCUGGAAAGAUAUUGCCACGGUGGCAUAAAAAUUCAACCCUU